AUACGUAGGGGGCGAGCGUUGUCCGGAAUGAUUGGGCGUAAAGGGCGCGUAGGCGGCCCGGUAAGUCUGGAGUGAAAGUCCUGUUUUUAAGAUGGGAAUUGCUUUGGAUACUGUCGGGCUUGAGUGCAGGAGAGGUAAGUGGAAUUCCCAGUGUAGCGGUGAAAUGCGUAGAUAUAUGGAGGAAAACCAGUGGCGAAGGCGGCUCUCUGGUCUGUAACUGACGCUGAGGCUCGAAAGCGUGGGGAGCAAACAGGAUUAGAUACCCUGGUAGUCCACGCCGUAAACGAUGAGUGCUAAGUGUUGGAGGGUUUCCGCCCUUCAGUGCUGCAGCUAACGCAUUAAGCACUCCGCCUGGGGAGUACGGCCGCAAGGCUGAAACUCAAAGGAAUUGACGGGG
rnacentral:rRNA from 1 species